rnacentral:rRNA from 1 species
UAGGGAAUAUUAGAAAUGGACGCAAGUCUGAUCUAGCAACACCGCGUGUGCGAAGAAGGCCUUCGGGUCGUAAAGCACUUUUUGGAAGGAAUAGGAAGGAAUGUACUUCCAGAAUAAGUCUCGGCUAACUACGAGCCAGCAGCCGCGGUAACACGUAGGAGGCAAACGUUAUCCGGAUUUACUGGGCGUAAAGCGCGUGUAGGUGGCACUGUAAGUAGGGCGUGAAAGCUCCUGGCUCAACUGGGAGAGGCCGUUCUAAACUACAGAACUAGAGGAUGGUAGAGGGAGGUGGAAUUCCAGGUGUAGCGGUGGAAUGCGCAGAUAUCUGGAGGAACACCGGUGGCGAAGGCGGCCUCCUGGACCAUUCCUGACACUCAGACGCGAAAGCUAGGGUAGCAAACGG